CCAAUAGCGUAUAUUAAAGUUGUUGCAGUUAAAAAGCUCGUAGUUGAAUUUCGGGGUUAGUAAGUUGGUCGUGCCACUGGUAUGUACUGGCUUUACUGAUUCCUCCUUCUUGUAGAACCGUAAUGCCAUUAAGUUGGUGUUGCGGGGAAACAGGACUGUUACUUUGAAAAAAUAAGAGUGUUUAAAGCAAGCUAACGCUUGAAUACAUUAGCAUGGAAUAAUGAAAUAGGACGUUCGAUCCUAUUUUGUUGGUUUCUAGGAUUGACGUAAUGAUUAAUAGGGAUAGUUGGGGGCAUUAGUAUUCAAUUGUCAGAGGUGAAAUUCUUGGAUUUAUUGAAGACUAACUACUGCGAAAGCAUUUGCCAAGUAUGUUUUCAUUAAUCAAGAACGAAAGUUAGGGGAUCGAAGACGAUCAGAUACCGUCGUAGUCUUAACCAUAAACUAUGCCGACUAGGGAUCGGAUGAUGUUAAUUUUAUAAUGACUCAUUCGGCGCCUUACG
rnacentral:misc_RNA from 1 species